rnacentral:rRNA from 1 species
UCUGGCUCAGGACGAACGCUGGCGGCAUGCCUUACACAUGCAAGUCGAACGAGGAUAGCAAUAUCCGAGUGGCGAACGGGUGAGUAACACAUGAGCAACCUGCCUCAAACUGGGGAAUAACACCGGGAAACUGGUGCUAAUACCGCAUAAGACCACGGCGCGGCAUCGCGCAGGGGUAAAAACGAUUUAGUGGUUUGAGAUGGGCUCAUGUCCCAUUAGCUAGUUGGUGAGAUAACAGCCCACCAAGGCGACGAUGGGUAGCCGACCUGAGAGGGUGAUCGGCCACAUUGGGACUGAGACACGGCCCAGACUCCUACGGGAGGCAGCAGUGGGGAAUAUUGGGCAAUGGGCGAAAGCCCUUACCCAGCAAUGCCGCGUGAGUGAAGAAGGUCUUCGGAUCGUAAAGCUCUUUGAUCAGGGACGAAACAAAUGACGGUACCUGAAGAACGAGCCCCGGCUAACUACGUGCCAGCCGCGGC